rnacentral:sRNA from 1 species
UUUACUUCCGGUAGUAAGACAAGGACAACUCUGUGAACUUUCUUAGUGGCCAGUGAUUCAGGGCAAUGUGGUGGUCUAUCCUGCCUUCCUCUCUCCUUACGGUGGGAUUUCUGUGUGUGCCUGGAACUUUGUCAGACAGAUUUUUCCGAUUUGUUCGUUAUAAUGACAAGAAUAUAAAUAGGGAUACCUAUGAUUCAAUGGACUUUCAGUUGAGCCACAGGGAUUACUUCAUAAUGGGGAGCAGAUACGUUCGGAGGGUAUGUGCUAUUUCUGUAGUCUUUAUCGUGGCAAAUGUUCCACUUUGUCGUUCUUAUAAAAAAAGUUUUGGACAAAUCGCCCAAAUGUGUUACCAUUUAGAAAAUAGAGAGGUUAAGCAUUUGAAUGUGUACACCUGCAGUCUGCGGGUAAGUGUGGAGUUACAAGUAUGUUUACAGGUACUUAUACAGUCUGGGUUAUUUGUAAUAGUUGCACAUGUACAUGUUUUUGUAAAGCAAUCAGAUUCAACACGUUCAGCUUACUCUCACUAUAAUGUACGUAAACAGUGUGAGCGUUUGCAAUUGGGCGAGCACAUAUUUUGUUUGUUAAAAAUAAAAUAAAGACAGUACUGGCAUCCGAACAAUUCUCACCAAGGACCAUUUCUCGCCAGUGCAUUGUUACGUCAUUUUUCAACACAUAAAACUUUGUACAAAAAAUGAUGUUAGAAUGAAACAUUUAUGGUCCUUGGUGAGAAUUGGUCGGAUGCCAGCUAGUAUAUAAGCUUAAUUUUGUGAAAGAGGAAAUAAGGUACUACAUUUGAUACAUACAUGUACAAAGUUGGAUCCCCCUGCCCAGUGAUUGGGAAGGCCAAUAAUGUUAAUGGGACUAUAUGGCCCCCCAAAUCUGUAUGUAUGUAGAUAUACAUGUAGUUAAGAGUGACACGCAUCUGUUACUGAAGAUAUAGUGACUGAUGUCUUAAUUCUCUUUUUGAUGAAGCAUUCAUUUAUACUAAAUUUUAUUAUUUAUAAAACAAUUAAAAUUUAACACUUCUGACAUUAUGUCUUUUGAACAUACAGUAUGCAAUUUUGUUCAUAUUUCUGAUAAAUACUGUAUGUAUGCACUUUUUUUAUUCACAGGGAUUGGAUUGGAUCCCAGAAGUUGAUUAAAGAGAAAUCAUGUAUACGAUGAUAGACUUUUUGUACCCUGAUAUUUAAUUAAAUGUUAAAAUCC